GAUGAACGCUGGCGGCGUGCCUAAUACAUGCAAGUCGAGCGAACGGACGAGAAGCUUGCUUCUCUGAUGUUAGCGGCGGACGGGUGAGUAACACGUGGAUAACCUACCUAUAAGACUGGGAUAACUUCGGGAAACCGGAGCUAAUACCGGAUAAUAUUUUGAACCGCAUGGUUCAAAAGUGAAAGACGGUCUUGCUGUCACUUAUAGAUGGAUCCGCGCUGCAUUAGCUAGUUGGUAAGGUAACGGCUUACCAAGGCAACGAUGCAUAGCCGACCUGAGAGGGUGAUCGGCCACACUGGAACUGAGACACGGUCCAGAAUCCUACGGGAGGCAGCAGUAGGGAAUCUUCCGCAAUGGGCGAAAGCCUGACGGAGCAACGCCGCGUGAGUGAUGAAGGUCUUCGGAUCGUAAAACUCUGUUAUUAGGGAAGAACAUAUGUGUAAGUAACUGUGCACAUCUUGACGGUACCUAAUCAGAAAGCCACGGCUAACUACGUG
rnacentral:rRNA from 1 species